rnacentral:rRNA from 1 species
CAGCGCCACGGGAAUACGGAGGGUGCAAGCGUUAAUCGGAAUUACUGGGCGUAAAGCGCACGCAGGCGGUCUGACAAGUCAGAUGUGAAAUCCCCGGGCUUAACCUGGGAACUGCAUUUGAAACUGUCAGGCUGGAGUCUUGUAGAGGGGGGUGGAAUUCCAGGUGUAGCGGUGAAAUGCGUAGAGAUCUGGAGGAAUACCGGUGGCGAAGGCGGCCCCCUGGACAAAGACUGACGCUCAGGUGCGAAAGCGUGGGGAGCAAACAGGAUUAGAUACCCCUGUAGUCCCUGUCUCUUAUACA